AGAGUUUGAUCCUGGCUCAGGAUGAACGCUGGCGGCGUGCUUAACACAUGCAAGUCGAGCGAUGAAGUUUCCUUCGGGAAACGGAUUAGCGGCGGACGGGUGAGUAACACGUGGGUAACCUGCCUCAUAGAGUGGAAUAGCCUUCUGAAAGGAAGAUUAAUACCGCAUAAUGUUGAAAGAUGGCAUCAUCAUUCAACCAAAGGAGCAAUCCGCUAUGAGAUGGACCCGCGGCGCAUUAGCUAGUUGGUGGGGUAACGGCCUACCAAAGCGACGAUGCGUAGCCGACCUGAGAGGGUGAUCGGCCACAUUGGGACUGAGACACGGCCCAGACUCCUACGGGAGGCAGCAGUGGGGAAUAUUGCACAAUGGGGGAAACCCUGAUGCAGCAACGCCGCGUGAGUGAUGAAGGUUUUCGGAUCGUAAAGCUCUGUCUUUGGGGAAGAUAAUGACGGUACCCAAGGAGGAAGCCACGGCUAACUACGUGCCAGCAGCCGCGGUAAUACGUAGGUGGCGAGCGUUAUCCGGAUUUACUGGGCGUAAAGGGAGCGUAGGCGGAUGAUUAAGUGGGAUGUGAAAUACCCGGGCUCAACUUGGGUGCUGCAUUCCAAACUGGUUAUCUAGAGUGCAGGAGAGGAGAGUGGAAUUCCUAGUGUAGCGGUGAAAUGCGUAGAGAUUAGGAAGAACACCAGUGGCGAAGGCGACUCUCUGGACUGUAACUGACGCUGAGGCUCGAAAGCGUGGGGAGCAAACAGGAUUAGAUACCCUGGUAGUCCACGCCGUAAUCGAUGAAUACUAGGUGUGGGGGUUUCAACACCUCCGUGCCGCCGCUAACGCAUUAAGUAUUCCGCCUGGGGAGUACGGUCGCAAGAUUAAAACUCAAAGGAAUUGACGGGGACCCGCACAAGUAGCGGAGCAUGUGGUUUAAUUCGAAGCAACGCGAAGAACCUUACCUACACUUGACAUCCCUUGCAUUACUCUUAAUCGAGGAAAUCCCUUCGGGGACAAGGUGACAGGUGGUGCAUGGUUGUCGUCAGCUCGUGUCGUGAGAUGUUGGGUUAAGUCCCGCAACGAGCGCAACCCUUGUCGUUAGUUACUAACAUUAAGUUGAGGACUCUAGCGAGACUGCCUGGGUUAACCAGGAGGAAGGUGGGGAUGACGUCAAAUCAUCAUGCCCCUUAUGUGUAGGGCUACACACGUGCUACAAUGGCUGGUACAGAGAGAUGCAAUACCGCGAGGUGGAGCCAAACUUAAAAACCAGUCUCAGUUCGGAUUGUAGGCUGAAACUCGCCUACAUGAAGCUGGAGUUACUAGUAAUCGCGAAUCAGAAUGUCGCGGUGAAUACGUUCCCGGGUCUUGCACACACCGCCCGUCA
rnacentral:rRNA from 1 species